rnacentral:rRNA from 1 species
GACGAACGCUGGCGGCGUGCUUAACACAUGCAAGUCGAGCGGUAAGGCCCUUUCGGGGGUACACGAGCGGCGAACGGGUGAGUAACACGUGGGUGACCUGCCCUCAGCUCUGGGAUAAGCCUGGGAAACCGGGUCUAAUACUGGAUAUGACUCCAUGACGCAUGUUGGUGGGGUGGAAAGCCUUGUGCGGCUGAGGAUGGGCCCGCGGCCUAUCAGCUUGUUGGUGGGGUGAUGGCCUACCAAGGCGACGACGGGUAGCCGGCCUGAGAGGGCGACCGGCCACACUGGGACUGAGACACGGCCCAGACUCCUACGGGAGGCAGCAGGUGGGGAAUCUUGCGCAAGUGGGACGAAAGCCUGACGCAGCGACGCCGCGUGAGGGAU